UCCUGGCAACAAUACUGGCUUCGUAAUCUGAUUUUUUCUCAGGAGCAAGAAGCAUGGGGCUGUCUUUGAUACACUUGGCGACUCCAAGCAGAAGCUGCAUUAUUUCUCGGGGUGGCAGAUUAGAGCAGAGGGGGAUUUGUGGCAGAAGUGGUGGUUACCAACUGAAGACUGCAUGUGCGCAAAUAUUGUUCCCUACAAUCUUUGGAGGGGGAUAAAAUUCUGGUUGUACUUGCACCCGAAGGUUUGUCCAAAAAGCAAAGAGGGUUGUGCAGUUUUUACUUCUGUAUCCUCCUAUUGUGUUUGAGCCCAUAAGCAUGUUGGUUUUAGCAUGACUUUUUGAGCCAAAAUAACACUGGAAAGUUACUUUGGCAAGUAUUUGGCAUCCCAGCUGCACAGCUAUGCCUCUUUGGUAUCCAGGAGCAUGAAAAUAUAAUGCAAGAUGCACUUGAUCGUACAGCUGAUCUCAAAUCCAUAUCUAUUUUCCAUUUUUGAGCAAUAUUGUUUCAAAUGUUUGCCUUGAUUUAGUCAUUUAUGUUUGGUAGUUUAGAUUACCUUUCACUUGCUGCAAUCGAUCCUCUGGAGAGUUGUAAAUUCUUGCUAGGUCCGCAAAGCAUUCUUUUGUCAACUAAGCUCAACUGAUGUGGUUAAUCCUACUUAUGAUACAGAUACACCAUAUUUUUAGAUUGGUGAUCUUUUGAUUUUGUGAUUGCUUGUCGCUGAAAGAACAAGUAUUUUUAUAUGGCUUUCCAGUGGAACGAAGAGAACUGAUGAUUGGUGUUGAUAGCUCUGAUAGCAUUGUCCCUAUUCUGAACCUAGAAAUUAGUAUUAGUUUAAGAGGUCAAUAGCUAUAAAUCACCGUGUCAGCAUACAUCUUGAGCCUUGUUAUUAUUGCAUUUAGCUGGUAUGCUUGUUUCAUGCGGCUACGCUAUUAAAGCCGAUAUGUUUGUUUUCUUUGAGCAAAGCUACCUUUCUUUUGGAAACUGUAUCAUGGUCACCCUGUAUUCCAAUUGGGGAAUCUUUGUGCAGCCUGCCGAUCAGUACAAAGCAUCACACAGCCCCAACAACAACUCAUCCUUCUACGAUUCUGGGAUGUCCCGGGAUGAUGGGUCAUAACUGGAAAUCAAAUGUGAGGUGUGUGUGCCCUGUACUUCUUGGUAUUAUGAUCAAAUUUGAGGUGUGUGCCCUGUACUUCAAGACAUUAUGACCAAAUAAUUGGAAGGCCGUGGUGAUUAUUAUUAGAAAGCAUGUAUAAUUAGGCACUAUUCCAUGCCAUGUAUGAUUUUUAAUUUGCAUCGUAUGAUAAGAUGCUUGAUUCUUAUGCUGUUGAGAAAACAUGAUUUGCUUUAACCUUAUUUUGAACUAUCAAUCAAAUGUCGUGAUGCAUUUAUAGGUAGCAAUUUAUUAUGGAAAUGUGCUUCUCUCUUCACUUGAAGAAGUCAUCAGGUUUCAAUUACUGAGAUUGGGAUCUGUGAGGAAUGCCUAAACUUGGUAGUCAUAUAAACUUGAUUGAGCUUUUUCUAAAAAUAUAGAUUUGGUUGUCAUUUUAAAAUCAUGGCCCACUUUUCCUGUAGCUUUUCAUGCCCAAAGUGAGUAGUAAAUUUGAUGAGACCGUGUAGAUGUUUUGAAAAGAAGUCAGCAUUAUACAUUCUCCUCUUGCCUUUUAUUUCUGAAUCUAAUGUUUGUUUCAUGUGAAUUGUACAUGCAUGGCUAAAUUUAUUUAGUGCAUUUGUGCAAACACCCCUGAUGAUGCGUUGAGAUCUUUUUUCCAGUCAUUGCUCAGAUUACUAAUGUGGGCUCUAACUAUGCA